AUAGCUCUGUUCCAACUUGGGAUGUGCGGUUGGUAGGGGUGAGUCCAAUAGGAUUCGAAGAUCCAGCCUCCCGAAAAUUAGAAUCCCCAAACGCAGAUGCGAGGUCCACGUGAAUUCUCAUACGUUUAGCCGUCGGACCAAAAGAGUUCCUCAAAAAUCGCAUUAAUGUGGAAUUUAGCAUUAAGUGUUGUUUGUAAUUAUAGUUAUCAUAGUCUCACGAAUUGUUCAUGAGAUGAAUGGCCAAGUAUCCUACUUUAGAGAUGAUUCGUAGUAUGGAUUUUUCACCAAAAUUAUGCAGUUAAAAAUUGAUUUAAUUGAUGAUUCCUUUUGCUUUGCUGAUUGCAUCUUUCCCUGUUAAUUUCGCUUGGUGCUUCAUCUUUAUUGGUCGUCUCAUAUUGAGGCAUCGACCAUAUCACCGACCCUUGCUCGACGGAGGAGACCCCAUCCUCGGGCUCGGGUCUGGACCAGAACACUGACAAUUUCCGAUCAACUUGUGUUUCCUCUUCCUACGAGAUAGAUACAAUAGAUGUGAUCAAACCGGUUGGUUAAGGCCAAACGUGAACCGGGAACCAUAAACCGUCUACAGAAAUGGCGAACGACGAUGAUCUUCCCUGUCAUGGUGGGGGAGCCCGCCAUAACCACGUACUCCUCUCCUCAACAGACCGCAUGAGGACGAGGAAGCUCUUCUACGAGGCAAGAGAGGAGGAAGUAUUCUCGCCUUUCGAAGGGAAACCGAGGCUAGGAGGACCGCUUGGUUUAUCGUAACUAUCAGUUUCUAUCUC